rnacentral:rRNA from 1 species
CCAGACUCCUACGGGAGGCAGCAGUGGGGAAUAUUGGGCAAUGGGCGCAAGCCUGACCCAGCAAUGCCGCGUGAAGGAAGAAGGCCCUCGGGUUGUAAACUUCUUUUAUCAGGGACGAAGGAUGUGACGGUACCUGAUGAAUAAGCUCCGGCUAACUACGUGCCAGCAGCCGCGGUAAUACGUAGGGAGCAAGCGUUAUCCGGAUUUACUGGGUGUAAAGGGCGCGUAGGCGGGAACUUAAGUUAGAUGUGAAAACUCCGGGCUUAACCUGGAGACUGCAUUUAAAACUGGGUUUCUUGAGGGCAGGAGAGGAAAGUGGAAUUCCUAGUGUAGCGGUGAAAUGCGUAGAUAUUAGGAGGAACACCAGUGGCGAAGGCGACUUUCUGGACUGUACCUGACGCUGAGGCGCGAAAGCAUGGGGAGCGAACAGGAUUAGAUACCCUAGUA